rnacentral:rRNA from 1 species
GAUGAACGCUGGCGGCGUGCCUAAUACAUGCAAGUCGAGCGAACAGACGAGGAGCUUGCUCCUCUGACGUUAGCGGCGGACGGGUGAGUAACACGUGGAUAACCUACCUAUAAGACUGGGAUAACUUCGGGAAACCGGAGCUAAUACCGGAUAAUAUAUUGAACCGCAUGGUUCAAUAGUGAAAGACGGUUUUGCUGUCACUUAUAGAUGGAUCCGCGCCGCAUUAGCUAGUUGGUAAGGUAACGGCUUACCAAGGCAACGAUGCGUAGCCGACCUGAGAGGGGGAUGGGCAAAACGGAAAUUGAGAAAGGGACCGAACCCCAACGGGGGGAGGAGGAGGGAAAUCUCCGGAAAGGGGGAAAGCCUGACGGAGCAGCGCCGCGUGAGUGAUGAAGGUCUUCGGAUCGUAAAACUCUGUUAUUAGGGAAGAACAAAUGUGUAAGUAACUAUGCACGUCUUGACGGUACCUAAUCAGAAAGCCACGGCUAACUACGUG